UGAGAGACCACUGUGAGGUAGAAAUGGUGUUAAAGCAACUCUUAAUCUGGAAUACAUCUUUUAAAAGGAUGUGAUAAAAAUAAGGAGAGUGGACACCAGAAAGAGGAUCUCUACAAGAAGACAGCCUGCUGGACACUGCGUGAACAGUACUUAGACCAGAAAACUUCAUCAGAAGAUGUCCAGAAUGCCAGACAGCUGUAUGAGAAGAGACUUUUGAAGCCUUAAAUGGACAAUUUGUCAUUACUUUUGGGUCCGUGUAUCUGUACUUACUAAGGGGACUGCCCCCUUUUGAUUUGUCAAUGUAUCAAUCAAUUUUUCUGUUCCUUCUGCCAUAUUGUUAUAAGUCCCCAAAAUCCCUUGAUGAAAUGUUGCCCAGCAGCACAGCCCCAGAUGGAACCAUUACUAAGGCAUUACAAGGUAUAACCACUUUAGCUGAGGAGUUGGCAGAGAACUCUGGGAUAGAUAAUUAAUUAAAGGGAUGGUUAGAAUCAUGGUUUGGCAAAUGGAAGGGAAUGGCAGUUAAUAGCUGGGAUAUUAAUAGCUGUAGGCUGUUGCAUAAUACCUUGUGAAGAGACUGAGGUGAACCCUGAUUAUGAUCAAAACUAGAAUACAUAAUGAAUUAAGAUUCAGAUGCAACAGAGUAAAAGGAAAUAAAAAGGUGGGAUUGUGGGAUAUAUAGAUGUUGCUUCUGCAUAUCACUCAAUCAGAGGUUGGAGUCAGAGAAUUAAUUUUUUUUUAUUAUUAUUUCCACAAAAAGACAAGUGGAAACCUUAAGGAAUGCAGUCUGGGGGCUGAACAAAGGGGUUUAUAUUAGAAUAAGAAAACACUCUUGGUGGUGAAUAGACUAACUGUGGAAAACCAGUUCUGAGGUUAACAUAAAAAGGGGUGUUCCCAAGUGAGGGUCAGGGUCUCCAAAUUGUGGGGAGUGGGAGAUGUAAUUAGGGGAGGAGACUCACGUGCAGAAAUUAGGCACUUUGGAUAGGUUGUAACCUCUAUAGUACCCAUCGAAUAGGGAAACAGGGGAAGGAAAUUUGAAUGGGGAAUAGGGAAUAAAAAGGUGUGCAUUUGUGGCUAUACUCCAGGCCUUCCCAAGUCGUUAAUAAAGCUUCUUCCUGAUUCAA